rnacentral:rRNA from 1 species
GACGAACGCUGGCGGCGUGCUUAACACAUGCAAGUCGAACGGAAAGGCCUUUUCGGAGGUACUCGAGUGGCGAACGGGUGAGUAACACGUGGGUGAUCUGCCCUGCACUCUGGGAUAAGCCUGGGAAACUGGGUCUAAUACCGGAUAGGACCGCACUUUAGUGCGUGUGGUGGAAAGUUGUUUCGGUGUAGGAUGAGCCCGCGGCCUAUCAGCUUGUUGGUGGGGUAAUGGCCUACCAAGGCGGCGACGGGUAGCCGGACUGAGAGGUUGGGCGGCCACAUUGGGACUGAGAUACGGCCCAGACUCCGACGGGAGGCAGCAGUGGGGAAUAUUGCACAAUGGGCGCAAGCCUGAUGCAGCGACGCCGCGUGGGGGAUGACGGCCUUCGGGUUGUAAACUCCUUUCGCCAGGGACGAAGCGUUUUGUGACGGUACCUGGAGAAGAAGCACCGGCUAACUACGUG